ACUCACCAAGGCGACGAUCUGUAGCGGGUCUGAGAGGAUGAUCCGCCACACUGGAACUGAGACACGGUCCAGACUCCUACGGGAGGCAGCAGUGGGAAUUUUGGACAAUGGGGGCAACCCUGAUCCAGCCAUGCCGCGUGAGUGAAGAAGGCCUUCGGGUUGUAAAGCUCUUUCGGCCGGGAAGAAAUCGUAUCAGCUAAUACCUGGUGCGGAUGACGGUACCGGCAUAAGAAGCACCGGCUAACUACGUGCCAGCAGCCGCGGUAAUACGUAGGGUGCAAGCGUUAAUCGGAAUUACUGGGCGUAAAGCGUGCGCAGGCGGACUUUUAAGCCAGAUGUGAAAGCCCCGAGCUUAACUUGGGAAUUGCGUUUGGAACUGGGAGUCUAGAGUCUGUCAGAGGGGGAUGGAAUUCCACGUGUAGCAGUGAAAUGCGUAGAGAUGUGGAGGAACACCGAUGGCGAAGGCAGUCCCCUGGGAUAAGACUGACGCUCAUGCACGAAAGCGUGGGGAGC
rnacentral:rRNA from 1 species